rnacentral:rRNA from 1 species
AUGCCAGCUUGCUGGUGGAUUAGUGGCGAACGGGUGAGUAACACGUGAGUAACCUGCCCUUAACUCUGGGAUAAGCCUGGGAAACUGGGUCUAAUACCGGAUAUGACUCCUCAUCGCAUGGUGGGGGGUGGAAAGCUUUAUUGUGGUUUUGGAUGGACUCGCGGCCUAUCAGCUUGUUGGUGAGGUAAUGGCUCACCAAGGCGACGACGGGUAGCCGGCCUGAGAGGGUGACCGGCCACACUGGGACUGAGACACGGCCCAGACUCCUACGGGAGGCAGCAGUGGGGAAUAUUGCACAAUGGGCGCAAGCCUGAUGCAGCGACGCCGCGUGAGGGAUGACGGCCUUCGGGUUGUAAACCUCUUUCAGUAGGGAAGAAGCGAAAGUGACGGUACCUGCAGAAGAAGCGCCGGCUAACUACGUGCCAGCAGCCGCGGUAAUACGUAGGGCGCAAGCGUUAUCCGGAAUUAUUGGGCGUAAAGAGCUCGUAGGCGGUUUGUCGCGUCUGCCGUGAAAGUCCGGGGCUCAACUCCGGAUCUGCGGUGGGUACGGGCAGACUAGAGUGAUGUAGGGGAGACUGGAAUUCCUGGUGUAGCGGUGAAAUGCGCAGAUAUCAGGAGGAACACCGAUGGCGAAGGCAGGUCUCUGGGCAUUAACUGACGCUGAGGAGCGAAAGCAUGGGGAGCGAACAGGAUUAGAUACCCUGGUAGUCCAUGCCGUAAACGUUGGGCACUAGGUGUGGGGGACAUUCCACGUUUUCCGCGCCGUAGCUAACGCAUUAAGUGCCCCGCCUGGGGAGUACGGCCGCAAGGCUAAAACUCAAAGGAAUUGACGGGGGCCCGCACAAGCGGCGGAGCAUGCGGGAUUAAUUCGAUGCAACGCGGAAGAACCUUACCAAGGGCUUGACAUGGGGCCGGGACCGGGGCUGGAAAACAGUCCUUCCCCUUUGGGGCCGGUUCACAGGUGGUGCAUGGUUGUCGUCAGCUCGUGUCGUGAGAUGUUGGGUUAAGUCCCGCAACGAGCGCAACCCUCGUUCCAUGUUGCCAGCGCGUAAUGGCGGGGACUCAUGGGAGACUGCCGGGGUCAACUCGGAGGAAGGUGGGGACGACGUCAAAUCAUCAUGCCCCUUAUGUCUUGGGCUUCACGCAUGCUACAAUGGCCGGUACAAAGGGUUGCGAUACUGUGAGGUGGAGCUAAUCCCAAAAAGCCGGUCUCAGUUCGGAUUGGGGUCUGCAACUCGACCCCAUGAAGUCGGAGUCGCUAGUAAUCGCAGAUCAGCAACGCUGCGGUGAAUACGUUCCCGGGCCUUGUACACACCGCCCGUCAAGUCACGAAAGUUGGUAACACCCGAAGCCGGUGGC